rnacentral:rRNA from 1 species
UACGGAGGGUGCAAGCGUUAUCCGGAUUCACUGGGUUUAAAGGGUGCGUAGGUGGGUAGGUAAGACAGUGGUGAAAUCUCCAAGCUUAACUUGGAAACUGCCGUUGAUACUAUUUAUCUUGAAUAUAGUGGAGGUGAGCGGAAUAUGUCAUGUAGCGGUGAAAUGCUUAGAUAUGACAUAGAACACCAAUUGCGAAGGCAGCUUGCUACACUACUAUUGACACUGAGGCACGAAAGCGUGGGGAUCAAACAGG